CCAGACAGCCAGGAUGUUGGCUUAGAAGCAGCCAUCAUUUAAAGAAAGCGUAAUAGCUCACUGGUCGAGUCGGCCUGCGCGGAAGAUGUAACGGGGCUAAACCAUGCACCGAAGCUGCGGCAGCGACACUGUGUGUUGUUGGGUAGGGGAGCGUUCUGUAAGCCUGUGAAGGUGUACUGUGAGGUAUGCUGGAGGUAUCAGAAGUGCGAAUGCUGACAUAAGUAACGAUAAAGCGGGUGAAAAGCCCGCUCGCCGGAAGACCAAGGGUUCCUGUCCAACGUUAAUCGGGGCAGGGUGAGUCGACCCCUAAGGCGAGGCCGAAAGGCGUAGUCGAUGGGAAACAGGUUAAUAUUCCUGUACUUGGUGUUACUGCGAAGGGGGGACGGAGAAGGCUAUGUUGGCCGGGCGACGGUUGUCCCGGUUUAAGCGUGUAGGCUGGUUUUCCAGGCAAAUCCGGAAAAUCAAGGCUGAGGCGUGAUGACGAGGCACUACGGUGCUGAAGCAACAAAUGCCCUGCUUCCAGGAAAAGCCUCUAAGCAUCAGGUAACAUCAAAUCGUACCCCAAACCGACACAGGUGGUCAGGUAGAGAAUACCAAGGCGCUUGAGAGAACUCGGGUGAAGGAACUAGGCAAAAUGGUGCCGUAACUUCGGGAGAAGGCACGCUGAUA
rnacentral:rRNA from 1 species